rnacentral:rRNA from 1 species
UACGUAGGUGACAAGCGUUGUCCGGAAUUAUUGGGCGUAAAGCGCGCGCAGGCGGUUUUUUAAGUCUGGUGUAUAAACCUGAGGCUCAACCUUGGGACGCAUUGGAAACUGGGGAACUGGAGUGUAGGAGAGGAAAGUGGAAUUCCACGUGUAGCGGUGAAAUGCGUAGAUAUGUGGAGGAACACCAGUGGCGAAGGCGACUUUCUGGCCUAUAACUGACGCUGAGGCGCGAAAGCGUGGGGAGCAAACAGG